rnacentral:rRNA from 1 species
UGGGGAAUAUUGCACAAUGGGCGCAAGCCUGAUGCAGCCAUGCCGCGUGUGUGAAGAAGGCCUUCGGGUUGUAAAGCACUUUCAGCGAGGAGGAAGGUGGUGAACUUAAUACGUUCAUCAAUUGACGUUACUCGCAGAAGAAGCACCGGCUAACUCCGUGCCAGCAGCCGCGGUAAUACGGAGGGUGCAAGCGUUAAUCGGAAUUACUGGGCGUAAAGCGCACGCAGGCGGUUUGUUAAGUCAGAUGUGAAAUCCCCGGGCUCAACCUGGGAACUGCAUUUGAAACUGGCAAGCUAGAUCUCGUAGAGGGGGGUAGAAUUCCAGGUGUAGCGGUGAAAUGCGUAGAGAUCUGGAGGAAUACCGGUGGCGAAGGCGGCCCCCCUGGACGAAGACUGACGCUCAGGUGCG